rnacentral:lncRNA from 1 species
AUGAACUACCUUACCCUGAUGAGACUAGAAAUGGGAGCACUUGUGAGUUACAGGUACCUCCGAGCUAAGCACCCCUCAUGCCACGCAAAUAACACCCGUGUGGGUGUGCCAGAGGUACUGCUGUGUAUUACAGGCUGUAUCUUGUGCAGUGACAAGGCCUGGGCACCCGUGGACGUCACAACCUCUGAGAGUUUGAGGCACCUGCCAGACUUGUGCCUAGGUCAGACCCGAGUAAGCCUGUGAAAAUCAGGGAGGGGAGGACACUGGAGGCAUAAAGGUAGGAAGAGAAUCUUGCUUGGCUUGUUCUAUGCAGAGAUUUUUCGUCAAGUGUUUCUUAACACUGUUACUCUAUUUCUCAAAGCAGUGCCUGCUGUGGGGCACUCUUCUACCUUGCCUCUGAAGCUGGCCCACCACACUGAGACUUGUGGUACGAUGCACCCCGUUACAAGUGCAGAUUUGUCAGUCCUUCUGGGUUUGUGCAUGUAAAACAGUGCAGUUCUUGUAGGAUCUGAACUGCGAAGUCCACGGUCUCUACAAGAGCUUAAAAUAGAAGUCACUACUUAGCUCCCCCUUCUUUGGUGUGGUGUGUGGGUUGGGAUUUUUUUUGUCACCUUCCAUCUAGUCUCCAUCUGCACUUGGGCUUCUGAUGAUUCCCUCUAAUUCUAUUAAACCACAGAAUUACUUUUGUUGUUCUAAAUACAGUGGCUCUUUCAAAUUUCUGUCUCCUGAGGAUGAUGUGACGGAGCAUAUUAGUUUAUGGUAAGCUGCAGAAAACUUGAACUCCCUGACUGUUCAAUUCAUGCAGAGUUAUGACAGGUUAUGCCUACAGGCUACGAGUUAGGGAAAUUAUUUUCUGUUCAAACAUUUCAUUUCUCUGCAACUCUGUAAUUCUAUUUCUCUUCUUUUCUUUUUUGUCUCCCUGCAAGGGAAGUGCUGUGAUUUAAAACACUUUGGCUUUGGGUGCUCCUUUCUCUCAUCUAAAUAUGAGACUCGGAAAAUGAUAUGCAUUUUUCUUUAAUCAUAAAGCCAUCUUGUUUGCUAACCAAAAUCAUUUUAGGGAAGUCACAGCUGACAGCAUAAAAUGCAAAGGGAAAAGAAUACAAUUUUUAAUCUCAUUAGGUCUCUAAAAAUGUGACUUUGAAAGUACUGCUAAAAGCGGAUGUAAAAGGGGAUAAGGGGGAGUAAAUCCCAGAUUACCAAAAGGCCUCGGUCCCGUUUUGGUCCUGUACAGCUGGAACCAAUGGUGGUUUUGUCAUUGAGUACAAUGGAAGCGGGGUCACACUAUUUAAAACAGGUGGGAGGUGGAGGGGAUGACAAAGAGCCUUCCUAGACUGCCUCUUCACAGUAAAACUGGGCAAACUGGGCAGAUCUACCUGCUUGCACUUGUUCUUCUGCAGGUAGAUUUUAUCUCUUUUAAAGCUGCCUGCAAGGGCUUUCAGUCAUGUUUAAGAGCCUGCUUUUGGGCCAGCAGCCCAAGUGCUGUGGUCGUGCACCAGGACUUUUCACCUGACGUAGGAAGCUGGAAGGUAAAACUGUCCUAGGAGUCGGGGACAAGUUGAAAAGAGUAAAAUUAGCUGGAGUAAGGCUAUAAGGAUCCCAUCGUGGUCAUAACUUGUUUCUGUCCUUGAGGAGCUGCAGGUUUCCUGGCUUAUCCUCUUUGUGUCCGUGAACUAAGCCAGGAUCUGAUUUGAACUGGGAUAUAAAUGUACUUCAGGCAGAAAAAUCCCUGUUGGCAGUUCCCAUAAAACAAUAAAAUCAUGUCAAAUUUGACUAAUUCUUGGGAU